rnacentral:rRNA from 2 species
GAGUGGGGGAUAACGUAGCGAAAGUUACGCUAAUACCGCAUACGAUCUAAGGAUGAAAGUGGGGGAUCGCAAGACCUCAUGCUCGUGGAGCGGCCGAUAUCUGAUUAGCUAGUUGGUAGGGUAAAAGCCUACCAAGGCAUCGAUCAGUAGCUGGUCUGAGAGGACGACCAGCCACACUGGAACUGAGACACGGUCCAGACUCCUACGGGAGGCAGCAGUGGGGAAUUUUGGACAAUGGGCGAAAGCCUGAUCCAGCAAUGCCGCGUGAGUGAAGAAGGCCUUCGGGUUGUAAAGCUCUUUUGUCAGGGAAGAAACGGUGAGAGCUAAUAUCUCUUGCUAAUGACGGUACCUGAAGAAUAAGCACCGGCUAACUACGUGCCAGCAGCCGCGGUAAUACGUAGGGUGCAAGCGUUAAUCGGAAUUACUGGGCGUAAAGCGUGCGCAGGCGGUUUUGUAAGUCUGAUGUGAAAUCCCCGGGCUCAACCUGGGAAUUGCAUUGGAGACUGCAAGGCUAGAAUCUGGCAGAGGGGGGUAGAAUUCCACGUGUAGCAGUGAAAUGCGUAGAUAUGUGGAGGAACACCGAUGGCGAAGGCAGCCCCCUGGGUCAAGAUUGACGCUCAUGCACGAAAGCGUGGGGAGCAAACAGGAUUAGAUACCCUGGUAGUCCACGCCCUAAACGAUGUCUACUAGUUGUCGGGUCUUAAUUGACUUGGUAACGCAGCUAACGCGUGAAGUAGACCGCCUGGGGAGUACGGUCGCAAGAUUAAAACUCAAAGGAAUUGACGGGGACCCGCACAAGCGGUGGAUGAUGUGGAUUAAUUCGAUGCAACGCGAAAAACCUUACCUACCCUUGACAUGGCUGGAAUCC